UCCAAAUUAAACAUACAUACACCUUAUUCUUGCUCACUUAGCCACUGACGGACGGAGGAAUAAAAGAAAGAACAGAUAAGUACAAGAGAGAAGAGAGUGGGAUCGAAGGGGAAGAAGAAAAGUGGAAGAAGGAGAGCACGGCGCCGGACAAAGAAGGAACUGCCACCGUGGCCACGCCUCUGUUUGUCUCUUUCUCCUCAACGCGCCGUCACUAACUCUGCUCCUGGCGUCCCCGUCGCUCCUGCUCGCAUCGUCGUCACUAAAUUUUCUCCUCGGCGUUGCCGUCACUGACAACUCGUCGGCAUCGCAGCCACUUCUCCUCAUCGUCCCUGCUCUCUGCCCUAGCAGGGGAAAACAACUUUUGAUGCCGCUGUCGUCGUCUUCUCGUAGCUCUAUCAUCAUUGUGGUUGGCAGCGUCGUCGUCGUAUUCUAAGUUUUCCAAAUCCAGUUUCUUUCAAAGGCAAGUCAGAGCAGAGGUUUUUACUCCCUUUGUUAGAUCAUCUGGAGAAAGCUCCUGAGCUUGAGUUAGUACUUGACUGCUCAGAUUCAACUGUCAAAAUUGAACUCUAGCAUCAUGCUAAUCCAAACUGAUUUUUGGUUGUUCCACUGGCAAGUUGAGGUCGAUGUUGGAUAAGUUGGUUGAUCUUGGAGUUAAGGGAAAUAAGUUAGACAUGGUUAUUGCUAGAAGCCCGCAGCUACAAUUGCGGAAGUCCAAAGAUUUUUUUAUAGGUUGUUCUGCAAAAAUUUUCGCUGCCAGCAUUGAUAAAACUCUUCAAAGGAAGAUUUUCCUUUCUGAGUUGGUUAAGUGAAAUGACUUCAGUAGACAUGAGAAGAAAAAGAAUACCUACCAAAAAGCAAUCCCAUAUAACUCUCUGAUUCACUAAGACCAAGGAAAGUAUAUUCAAGUGUUGGGAGAUAACUUUUUAAUUCAAAUGUGGAUGGUGCAUUCAGAUUUUUCUUCUUAGAAGCUUGCAUGCAUAGAGUUGAAGGGACUUGUAUGAUGACCUCUUUAAUUAUUGGAAUGUGCAAGCAUGGAGUGUGCAUGGUUUCCUCCUUUGUUUGAGUAUGUGUGAGGUUCUUCCAUGUGUGAGGGUGGAGAGUUCUCCAAUUUCGUGGAGUAUGAACUCCUUUGAAUGAUUUUCUCAUAUUUUUCCAUAGGAUCUUGCAUUGUAUUUCUUGGAAAGGAAAUUUCUUAUUUCUCUGCCAAAUGCUUGGUAAUCAACUCCACAUAUUUCUCUAUAUUUUUGACACUCACUUUUAUAUCAUGUGUGCAACUUUGAGUAGUAUUCGCUAAUUCUUUCAUGGAAAGCUCAAGCUUAUAGUUCUUGAUAUGAAUUAAAAGAUAAUGGUUCUUAAUAUGAAUAGAGAGAUUGUGGUUCUUGAUAUGAGUAAUUGGAGGAUGGUUCCUGAUAUGAAUAAGGAGAUAAUUAUUCUUGAUAGAUGGGAAUGGAAUACGGAAGUUUCCUUGUUCUUGACUUUUUCAACCAAAAUAUGAAUAGUUUCUCCAUUCACAGUGAUAUGAAUCAUUUCUUGAGUGUGAGUAGUAACUCGUGUGGUCUCUCUCUAUUAUUUUUCUUAGCACAAAAUACCAAACAAAAUUAAAUGCACCAUGUGGUAAAAAAGAAAAGAAAAGAGGAGAGAAUGGAAAGGAUUUUUUUUAUGAAGAGAAAACAAAAAAAUAUCUAAUUUAGGCAUAAUUAUUAAAAUCGGAUUGGAUCAGACUGGUCAAUUUGACCGGAUCCAAUACCGGUCCGGUCCAAACUUAGGACUGCUUAAGGCAGAGAAUCGGCACUGGUCAAAUAUGAAAUGAACGGGUGAAAAUUGGAUCGAAUCGAACCGCUCGGGUUGUUGAAAGGAAACCACCGUGCUCUAUGUGCUCCAUGUCUUGCUAAGUGUCAAGGUCCAUAAAUUUUGGGAAAUUUUCCAAAAUGGCCAACAUGGGAUUCGAACCCCUUCGCUCUAAAAUGCAACAAGGAUGAUUGUACCACCCAGCUAUGCUUCUUAAUAUCAUAUGUACAAAUUAUAAUACAUAUACCAAACUUAGGACUGCUUAAGGCAGAGAAUCGGCACGAACCGGUCAAAUCCAAAAUAAACCAAUGAAAACUAGACCAAACCGAACCGCUCGGAUCGUUGAAAGGAAACCACCGUGUUCCAUAUGCUCCAUGUCUUGCUAAGUGUCAAGGCCCAUAAAUUUUGGAAAAAUUUUCAAAAUGGCCAACAUGGAGUUCGAACCCCUUCCCUCUAAAAAUGCAACAAGGAUGAUUGUACCACCCAACUGCAAUGCUUCUUAAUAUCAUAUGUACAAAUUAUAAUACAUAUACCAAUCUUUCUUUUAUUUAUAUU